rnacentral:tRNA from 1 species
AUUAAAAUAGUUUAUAAAAAACAUUAUAUUUUCAUUAUAAAAAUAGAGUUUAAUCUUUUUAAUA